GGGCAGCAGCCCCUUGCUGGGCGGGAAGAGGCCCGUGCACAGCCACAGCAGCUGCCAGCCCCGCUCUUCGCUGUGCCUGAAGGGUAGCACUUGUCAGCCGGGAAAGGCCCCUCAGGGGGCCCUGGCCAGGCAGGCACCUUGGGGAGCAGGGACGGAUGUGAGAGCUGCCUGGGGUCUAGAGGGCCCGAGGGGGAGGGCACCUGCCAGGCUGCACCAUGCCAGCUGUGCCAGGCUGCCCGAUGCCACGGGCUUUCACACCCUCAAGAUGGGGGCGGGUGGGCAUUGCACCCAUUUUGUGGAAGACGACACUGAAGCUCAGAGAGGUCAUGGCCUGCCAGGUCACACACAGAGGGUGGGAGUGGGCAGGGCCAUCCUCUCCUGCUCUGACCACCCCUAGGACAUCAGCAGAGCAGACCAAGGGCCCAACCCUUCCCACUGCUGAGGCAGGAGCCCAGGCAGGGGUUCUGCCGCCACCAGCUGCGGUGUCCUCUCUGAGCCUCGGUCUGGCCUCAGGGGCCGGGAUGAGGACUGAGGGUGCCCGCGUGGGCUGGCCGCCGCCCCAGCAGACCUGUUGGAGUUGUGCGUCAGCUGCUUCAGGAUCUGGCAGUAGACCUCGUCCUGGAGGGCCGGGUGCUGCAGGGCCAGUGUGAAGAUCUGGUCGGUGAGCUCCAGGGUGGGCCAGGCCUGCCGAGAAGGGUAGUCGCCCAUGUACCGGAGGAUGGGUGUGGCUGUCAAGGAGCACAGUGCUGGGGCAGCCCCACGCUGACACAGACUGGGGAUAGACGCUGACCCCGACCCCGGCCCUGCGGUGAGCCAUGUGUGGGCUCUGUCCCGCCACUCCAGGUUUCUCAGAUCUCCUGGGCUCUCCUGCCCUAGAGCACAGCUGUAGGGCCAGGAUGUGCUGGGUGCCUCUGCCCUGGCAUUGACGAGGUGCAGGCAGGCUGGUGGGGAAGGAUAUCGACAAAGAUCUGGCAGGCGAUGUCCCAGAGGUCGACGUUGGCGUGGACUCGCUUGAGCAGCGGCUGUCGCAGCGGCUCGCAGGAAUAGGCCCACAGGUGGCCACGGGCACGGGCCAGGGGCAGCACGGCCAUGCUCACCAUGUCCUUCUCUGGAGCCCUGUGAGGUUAGAGGCUGGUGUGAGGCCUGCCCUGUGGCCUUCUCUGUCCCACGCUUCUCUGUCCUCUGACACCCCUGAGUGGCUGUGGGAGGGCCAGAGCACCCCACCCUGCCGCAAGCCCCUCCUGACUCCCCUGGCCUGGGAAGGCCAGGCAGGCUCCACAUGGGUGGCGUGGCCUCUCUGCAGCUCUCAGUGGGUGCAAUGAGGUGGAGCGGGGCUGGGAGCAGGGGGUGCAAUGAGGUGAGGUGGGGCUGGGAGGUGGGGGUGCAAUGAGGCGGAGCGGGGCUGGGGGGCACCUGAAGAACUCAUAGGAGAACUCCUCCAGGGUGUGCAGCUUUUCCUUGGGUGGCUCCUCAGGACGUGGCUCUGUGAACUGCCCCUCCUGAGCCGCCAGCUUCCUCUUCUCUGGUGACAUGGCAAGCAAGCUCUGAAGGGGGCACAGGCCUGUGGGUGCCCAGGAGCCACCGCCCAUGAGGCCCUUCCUGCAGGCUCCUCCCGGCCUGGCAGCCUCAGUGACUUGGGAGGGGUCAGGCCCAGGGCUGAACAGGCCAGGGCUUACCCACACCCCUGUCACCUGCCGUGUGACCCAGGACCAUGACUCUACCUCUUGGUGCCUGUCUCCUUUCCCUUGGGAGGAUGAAACCGAGGCAUAGAGUGGUGGGCAGAAGACCACUCCAAGAGUGAGCGAUGGUGGGACUGGAACCUCAGGGGCCUCAGACGGCUGUCACCUGCUGCAGCUGCACAGGCACAGAGCCCAGGGGCCAUGGCGAAAAUGGACCUCUCCUUCAGGCCCUCCAGGAACAGGGCCACCAGCUCAGCGAUGGCCACACUGCUGGGUGACACAAACUCGUACUCCUCAUGCAUCGUGGAGAGCAGCAGCCUCUGCCCGCCCUGGGCCUCCCUGGAGAUGAAGGACAGCGUGACCAGGAGCCCCCUCCACCUUCCCCUGAUCCAGCCCCUAAACAGCCUCGGGAGGUGGGGUUGGGGGUCCUGAGUCACAGAUGAGGACACAGAGCUGCUCUGCCAGGGCCAGGACUAGGCCAGACACCACUGUGGGUCUGGACAAAUGAAGGACGGCGGAGCACAGGACCUCUCGGAGGCUGAGAGUGGUGCAGCCCAUGUGUGGGGUUGGCUGUGGGCAGAUAAUGAGGUGGCUGGUGUGCAGUGACACCGCAGGGACACUGCAAAGGUCAGAGCUGAGAUGAGCUGCCGGCUCUGCCAUGUGCUUACUCUGAGCCACCUAACCUCGGCGUGCUUCAGUUUACUCAUCCGCUCAUCUGCAGAAUGGGUGAUGCUGUCGGUACUUCGUGGCAUACAGGAAAGUGCCCAGCAUGGUCAGCCUCAGUGAGAGGUGGCCAGUGGGGAGUGGUGGCCACUGUACACCUGGCACAGCCCAGAGAUGCAUGUGCCACUCUGUUGUGUGCUUCAACCAAGGGGCGCUCUGGCAGGGCUUGGGUGGGACUUCCCAAAGGGCAUGGAAAAGUUCCCAGUCAAUGAGAUCCAUGGAGACCCAUGGGAGUGGGGGUCAGCCCCAGCCUAAGAGGACCCCCAGCCCUGCCCUGUGCCCCAGGACACACCAGGCACUGUCCCUUGUCGCCUUCCCAGACAACCUGUACCCUCCAGGCCACCAGUUCUCGUCCAUGACAAAGAAAGGAGCCUUCUAAAUAAGUGCCCGCCAGAGGCUGCACGCUUCCCUGCCCCUUCCGGGUGGACCUGGGUUUCAAAGAGAAGCUGCCAGUGCAACGCGUGAUGCCCCAAUGGAGUACUUCAUGGGCAGUACGGCCUGGUGCAGGAGGGUGGGGCUCCGAAGUACAGAAGCCAUCGCAUACGUAGAUUCUUGUCCCUCCACCCCGGCCUGUUACCCGGGACGGCACACUGCCCCUCUCCCCAUCUCUCCCCGAGCCCCCAGAUGCAUCACAAGGACUCAGUGUGUAAGAAGAGAUCUUCCCUCAGGGCCCGCACCUGUUGGUGGCCAGACCCAUGACCUCUGGGAAAGAGAGUUCCAGCAGCAUCUUCUCCUGCUGGUCCAGGAAGCAAAGCCCCUUCCAGUUAACAGCCAAGAUCAGCUGCGUCUUGGGCAGGCGGGGGCCUGGCCAGGAGAGACGGCAGUGUGAAGGCUGCAUGGGACCCCUGGGUGCCCAGCCCAUACCUGCUCCCUGCCCCCUGUCAGAUGCCAUUACCUGAGAGUGUGAUGACUUCGAAGAGCCGGGAGAAGAGCAGCGGCCACUGCAGGCGGGCGGCGUCCACCACCUGCUCUCGCACGGCCAGUGGUGUGACUUGCUUCUGAGUGUAUGGGGCCUGAGGGGGGAUCCUGGAUGUCACCUCCGUCACCUGCCUUCCCUAGUGAAUCCCUCACCUAGUGCUCAGGGUAAAAGAGUUGAUGGAUCCUUCUGAGAAGGCUCUACAAGGCCAGUGUCUGGAGAUGGAUCCUGUAGGGAGGCACCUGGGACGUCCCCAGGGACUGGUGCA
rnacentral:lncRNA from 1 species